UACCUGUUGACAGAAAACGCGGUGACGAUAUAGUGUUGUUUGCUGCUGCUGCUGAGGGGGUUGUGCGGUCUGAGGGCGUACGGGUGGUGGUGGGUGUCCUCAGGGAUGUAGUGCAGGAUGGCGACCUCGUGGUUAGUGAAGGUGAUCAUAGGGCCGGGAUGGGUGAUGCGCGUGAGAGACGGCGGGAUAUCAUCAGCAAUGGAGGCCUGGUAAACGAAGUAGUCGGCGAGGGAUACAGUAAACCUGUUACCUCUGCCGAGGAUGAGGCGGAUGAGGAGGAGGUCAUCGUGUGCGGCGAUGAUCUGGGGCUCCAUGGCGUAGUCAUCGGAUGCAGGAUUGAGGGUGGGAGAGUGGACGCACACGUAGGAGACGAGCUGCGGCUGGGCGGCGGUGCACAGGGUCACCUGGAUUUCAUGGCCCUCCCUUGUUUUGGAAGUAGCAGUGGUGGCGUUGCGGACGUCGGCGCCGGCGAAGUAGGCGAGCUUGUCGAGGAGUACCCAUCUUGGCCUGCGCCGCGUCCCCUUGUCGACGGACCGGCCGUGGAAAGGAGGACACAGGGAAGCGUCCAUGACGCCCAUUUGCGCCAUGAUCUGAUCCUCUCCUGGUUUUCAACGCAGCAGCCGACUGGAUCUAUAUAUACUAUAAUAAAUAGAAGAACAGACCUUCAAUCGCAAUCGGAAUCGACUCCGACGGCGUAUCGGUAUCGGAGGCCGCCCGCCGAGGCCGAGGAGGAAGGGGAAAGAAGAGCAAUGUGGCGGCUGGGGGCUCGCCGCUACUCAUCACUAACUAGGGUUUCCUUCUCUUCUCACUCUACCGUGGCCUUGGUGCAUGGGCCUGAAUUCCGGCCCAUGCACCCUGGUGGAUCCAAACCAGCGAGGCCCAGUAGUGCUCUAGCUCUAAGUGACAGCAUUCUUAAUAUAGAUCAUCUAUUUUAUUUAAUCUGAUGGACUAUAAUGAACUUCCUCCCUCUGCUUUUUAUAUUAUAGGCCGUUUAGAAUUUCUUUUUCUAAUAAAUAAAACUUUUAAAGUUAACCCCAGGUUUAAUAGAAAAAAAAAUCAAUGCGACUUAUAAAUAUGAAUUUGAGAAAGUACCACCACCGGUUUUAUAUUUUUUUCAUAUUUUAUACAAUGACAAGGAUUUCAAAAUAUAUCUUUUGAGUAUGUUUUUCUAUUAUAAUCUCUUCUAUUAUAAAAAUUUAAUGUGUUUCUGUAAAAAAACAAUCCGUAUUUUUGUCCAUCGUCGUGUCGGUUUAUUUCCCACACGACGCAGCCGCGCUCACUCAGCCAAUCUACGCAUUCGCUUACAGACAUACGCAUGCCCAGCUGACCAUCUGCCCCUUACGGCUUGUUUGGCAACUUAAGGGAAGGGGAUUGGGAGUUUACACGAGGGAAUUGAUGGUGAGAUUAAGAUGGGAAUUUGAUUUUUCAUCCCAGUCUCUUGUUUGGAAGAGGUGGUGGAAAUUGAUAUGGAGUUUAAUUGGAGAUUAGGUCAUUAAUGAAAACGGAUGGCUGAGAUUUGUUUAGGCGAAGUAAAGGAGGAAUUCCCUGCCAAUUACCAACCCCUACCCAGGUAUUGAAAAGGAGGGAGUUCAUUCCUCAAUUCCUCAUCUCUAUCCCACUAAAAUUCCCAUGUCUCCCAACCAAACAAAAGAGUUAAUAGCCUCAUCCCUCUAAACUCCCAAUCCCUCCUAAAAACUCUCCCCAACCAAACGGGCCAUUAGGCUCUUAGCUGCCGCAGCUGGCCAAUGGCCAUGCCUCACCUGAGCCAAAUGGUCUAAUGGGUUUUUCUUUUUUUUCUUUUAUUCUCUGUUUUCACCUACUCACUUUGAUAUAUCUUAGUAUAAAUAAAUUGGAUGAGAUAUUAUACAAUAUGUAUGGUAGUAUGGUAAAUCCCAUAACUUUAUCAAGCCAUGCAUUUUUCAUGUGACGUUUGUGUUGUGUAUUUUUUUUUUUCCACUAAACCACUUUUAGUUACUCCCUCCGUCUCAAAAUAUAAGCAUUUUUAGCAUAGUGCCAAGUCAACCAUUUUUAACUUUGACUAUUGAAAGGAAAAAAUAAAAAAAAGAUCAAUAAUGUAAAAUUGAUGUUACUAGAUUUAUCACUAAUCAAACUAUUAUAAUAUGCAACUCUUUUUAUUUAAAACAUUUUAUUUUUAUAGAUAUUAUUGGUCAAAGUAGCAUCUCGAAGACUGUGUCGAGAUCCAAAAAUGCUUAUAUUUUGGGAUGGAGGGAGUAUUGUUUAAUUUUCUUAUAUAGUCAUAUUGUAUAUAUAGGUGAUGGACUCAAUAAAUAUAUUUGGGUCAGAUCUUCAUGGGCCAAGCCUAAAGGUUUUUCAACACUUUUGUCCGGUUGAGUGAUACUUAUCGGCCUCAAUAAAUAUAUUGUUUCCUAGUGAAGCUACUUUCUAGAAUUUCUCUAUAGUGGAGGUGAAUUUUCAUCCCACGAGGGGACAUCCCCCUCGUUGUUUGCAUGUCAUCUUGGCAUUCGCCGCCGCCGCCGCUUUCUCUUGCCGACGGAGUGGCCAUGGACAGGAGGAAACAGGGUGGCGUACAUGAUGCCCAUUUGCGCCAUGAUCUGAUCGCCUCCUGGUUUUCAAGCAGCAGACGACUGGAUUUAUCUCGAAAAUGCUUUACAACGGACGUUCGAUACGACGCAAAAAAAUCGGACAUACCACCGAGUGGAGGCGUCAACCACUCAUUCUUCUCUCUUUCUAUCCCCUCAAUACCGUAGCACUGUAUCUCACUCGUGUCUUCCCCCUUCUUCGCCGGACGCACGCCUCCCCUCCUCCUCCUCCUCCUCCACAUCCGGCCAUCGCCGCCUCCCAUCAUCCUCCUCCUCUAGCCGCCGCACCUCCCCCCUCCCCCUCUCCUUCGGCCGACGCCGCCUUCCCUCCUCCUCCUCCUCCGGACGCCGCGCCACCCCUCCUCCUACUCCGGCUGCCACUCCUCUUUUCCCAUUGGCGGCGGCGCUCCCUUCGGCUGGGCGUGGCCGGCGAGCUUCCGUCCUCUUCGCUGGAUGGGGUGGCACGUGUAGGGCGACGAGCUUGGGGGGCGUAUCUCGCGGCGUUGGCUCUCCCCCCACCGGCGUCCCCUCCCUGCAAAUCGAGGCGCAGGGCGACGUGAUCCCCUGCGGCGGCGCAAAUCGGCUGCAGCCGGCGCGGGGCCUAUCUCGCUCUCCAGAUCCGGCCAGACGCAGAGCGGUGGUGGUGGCAGCGGGGGUGUUCGCUCGCCGAAGCCAUGCCGCGCGAGGACGGCGGCCGGAGUUGAGGGUGGUGGCCGGAGUUGAAGACACGAAGGUGGGUUUAGUUUUGUGAUUCACUUUGUUGUAUUUAAGGUGUUUUAUUUUGUUUUGAUUCGAUAUUGCAUAUAUUGAUUUUACAUGUUGCAAUCGAUAUGUUUUGAUUGAAUUUGGUUGAAACACUUUCGUCUAUGCGAUGAAACAUUUUUCUCUGGUUGAUGAAACAUGUGAACAUUUUUCAAUGAAACAUUUUGCAACAACCGUAUGAUGUUUCAGCUUUUUAUAUUUUUUGUUGCACUUUAUUGUAUUAAGGUGUUUCAUUCCAUUUUGACUUUGAUGUUUGCAUGAAUUUGAUUUCUUGGUGUUACAAUGCGCCAGUCCAUAUUGUUGAAUAUUGCAUUUAGUUGAAACAAUCUUCCUCAAACGCUGAAACAUUUUUCUCUGGGAGUGAAACAUCUGAAACAUUUUCAUUGAAACAUUUUUUUCUGAGGGAUGAAACAUGUGAAACAUUCCUCGAUAACAUGGUGCAACAUCGUCCGGCGAUUUGCACCAGAUCGGACAUCCGAUCCAUAGCAGCCUCCGGUUUAUCUGCUAUCUAUCUGCACAUGUACAAUAAAUAGAAGAGAAGAGCUUCAAUCGCAAUCGGAAUCGGAAUCGAGUCCGAGCCUUACGGCGUACCGGAGUGAGGAAGAGAAAGGGGAAGUGGCGGCUUCUAUCUCUACUGCGGUCUUAAUUGAUUGAUGCAUGGGCCUCUGUUCCAGCCCAUACACCCGACCUGCUGAGAUACAAAGGAAUAAGCUCAUUUGAAGUACCUGGAUGUGGAUUUUCUUCCCUCGAUGGGACGUCCCCUCGUUGUUUGCAUGUCAUCUAAAUAGUUAUUAAAAAAUUUGAAAAAAAUUGAUAUAUUUCAAAUUAAUCUAUGUUACCAAAUUGUUUUUCAUAUUUUUUUUAUGUCUAUUUAGGUGACAUGCACGAAAUGAGAGGAUAUCCCAUAUAUUCCCUCGAGUGAUGAUUUCACUUUCCGGAAGUACCUUAACUUCUACAGUGAGAGGAGGAAAAAGAACAAAAUCGAACAAAGCUGCAAAGUUUGACAGAUUAAUUAAAGAAUCAUCAUUACUGCGAUGCGACCAUUAGCGUUGAGUAUUACAUCUCUCUAGCCAGCGUCGCCGAUCAUCACCGGCGGUAGCACUGGACGUGCAGGAAGAAUCCUCCGGGAGGAUGGCCCUUGCUGGCCAUCACCUCGUGUGCUACAAGUGCUACAGUAAUCUACAUUUACUAAUGACGGAUUGAUUAUAAUCUUUUGUGUAUGUUUUUCUAUUAUAAACUCUUCUAUUAUAAAAUUUUAAUGUGUUUCUGUAAAAAAAAAUCCGUAUUUUUUUCCAUCGUCGUGUCGGUUUAUUUCCCACACGACGCAACCGCGCUCACUCAGCCAAUCUACGCAUUCGCUUACAGAUACACGCGCGCCCAGCUGACCAUCUGCCCCUUAGGCUCUUGGCUGCCGCAGCUGGACAAUGGCCAUGCCUCACCUGAGCCAAAUGGUCUAAUGGGUUUUUCUUUUUUUUAUUAUUCUCUGUUUUCACCUACUCACUUUGAUAUAUCUUGGUAUAAAUAAACUGGAUGAGAUAUUAUACAAUAUGUAUGGUAAAUCCCAUAACUUUAUCAAGCCAUGCAUUUUUCAUGUGACGUUUGUGGUGUGUAUUUUUUUUCCACUGAACCACUUUUAGCUACUCCCUCCGUCUCAAAAUAUAAGCAUUUUUAGCAUAGUGCCAAGUCAACCAUUUUUAAUUUUGACUAUUGAAAGGAAAAAAAUAAAAAAAUAUCAAUAAUGUAAAAUUGAUGUUACUAGAUUUAUAAUUAAUCAAACUAUUAUAAUAUGCAACUCUUUUUAUUUAUAACAUUUUAUUUUUAUAGAUAUUAUUGGUCAAAAUAACAUCUCAAAGACCGUGUCGAGAUCCAAAAAAUGCUUAUAUUUUGGGAUAGAUGGGAUGGAAGGAGUAUUGUUUAAUUUUCUUUCACUGAUUCACCUAUUGCAUAUGUAAUACUUCUUUUUAAGAAAAUAGCUGGCACAUAUUUUUCUUAAUUAUUUUUCUUUUUUGUUUUCCUUAAUUUUUGGUGCAUCUUACGUUUGUCGUCGGCACAUCCCCUCUUAUCAUCGUAAUAUUUUCUCUCUUUUCUCGCUCUGUCCAUAAGUCUUGUAUCAGUUUUCUUCCAGAGUUCUUGUGGACAACACAUGAAAAGAGAUGUCCUGUACAUAAAAAUUACAACUAUGCCUAUAAAAGCCCAAGCAUUAUGGGCAAGAAUAUGUAGUACAUUUUGAUUUUCUAUACUCACUGUGAUGAUGCAAAAAUUGAUUUCCCUUUGGACUUAAUUUUGGAAUUCAGGAGAGAGUGCCAUGUCCCCGCAAAAAAAAAAAGAAAGGAGAGAGUGCCAUGGAAAUGGUGUCCAGUGUUGCUCAAUGCUGAUAGUGUUCUUUCAACGGCAAAAUGUAUUGUGUCUUUUUGCCAGAGGUCGACGAAAACCAUGAGGCCAGGAGAUUGGUGAGUGAGGUUGAUGACGUUGGUUGUGCGAUGGUCGAAGUAGGAGAGACCUAGCAAUGGUGGCACUGUUGCCCCAAGGUUGAAGUGGGUGGUGGUCCAUUGCUAGGUGUGGGAGUUGUAGAGGUGGAGCUCGUAUUCCCCUGGUGGCCUAAACCUGUUGACAGAAAGCGCGGUGACGAUGUAGCGUUGUUUGUUGCUGAUGAGGGGUUCGUUAAUGUCCUGAGGUUCAGGGAUGUAGUGCAGGAUGGAGACCUCGUGGUUAGUGAAGGUGAUCAUAGGGCCGGGAUGGGUGAUGCGCGUGAGAGACGGCGGGAUAUCAUCAGCAAUGGAGGCCGCCUAUUUAUUGUAUGUGUAGCAGAUAGAUAGCAGAUAAAUCCAGUAGGCUGCUAGCUACUUGAAAGCCAGGAGGCGAUCAGAUCAUGGCGCAAAUGGGCAUCAUGUACACCUCCCUGUAUCCUCCUGUCCACGGCCGCUCCCUCGGCAAGAGAAAGCGGCGGCGGCGGCGGAUGCCAAGAUGGGUACUCCUCGACAAGCUCGCC
rnacentral:lncRNA from 1 species